rnacentral:misc_RNA from 1 species
GAAAUCCUUCAGAAAAGUGACAAAGUAUGUAGAUGCUAUGGAUUUUGUGAACUGUCAUCCUUGCUCGUAUUGAUUUCAAAUUUUAGAACCAUAACUUUGAGACACAAUCAAGUUAGACAUGUAAUUUGAAUAAAUAGCAAGAAGCAAGUGACUAGAGUCUGAGAUGCUGACCAGUUUCAACCUACUUCUUUUCGAGGAAAGAUAUGAUUGCUCGUCAUUGUAUUUGUUGAAUUGUGCUGCUUUUCUCAUGCUGUUGAGUUGAUUAUACUCCCUUCUUGAUCUUAUUUUGCAUUCUUUAAUUUCAAUUUCCUCAUGCAGAUUUUGUUCAUUGGACCUGUUCAU